UCAGUCGACUCCUACGGGGAGGCAGCAGUGGGGGAAUAUUGCACAAUGGGCGCAAGCCUGAUGCAGCCAUGCCGCGUGUAUGAAGAAGGACCUUCGGGUUGUAAAGGUACUUUCAGCAGUGAGGAAGGCGGGUACGGUUAAUAGCGUGCUCGUUUGACGUUAGCUGCAGAAGAAGCACCGGCUAACUCCGUGCCAGCAGCCGCGGUAAUACGGAGGGUGCGAGCGUUAAUCGGAAUUACUGGGCGUAAAGCGCAUGCAGGUGGUUUGUUAAGUCAGAUGUGAAAGCCCGGGGCGUCAACCUCGGAAUUGCAUUUGUAAACUGGCAGACUAGAGUACUGUAGAGGGGGGUAGGAAUUUCAGGUGUAGCGGUGAAAUGCGUAGAGAUCUGAAGGAAUACCGGUGGCGAAGGCGGCCCCCUGGACAGAUACUGACACUCAGAUGCGAAAGCGUGGGGAGCAAACAGGAUUAGAUACCCUGGUAG
rnacentral:rRNA from 1 species